AUUUAAAGGGACACCAGCGUUCUUAUUGAUUGCUUUGGUUUUUCAUUAGAAAAGUGCGGUCAGCCUACUACUGCAAGGCGGAAGUGAAAUAUUUCUGGAUCUUAACUGUGUGCUGGAUGUGCUACCGAUAUGGUCUGUUUUUGCCCACUGGCUUUUCGUCAGUCUUACACCCUUUCAGAUAGACGGGACCAGUGCAUGUCUCGAGGUAACAAACUACUACCUUACAUUCCAGCAUCUCACUUUCAAGAAAACGUGUCCAAAGACUGUGGGAAUUUUGCAGCUAUCGAAAUAAUUAUGCUACUGAUUGUUGAUUAAGAGCUAGGAAUAUUACAUCUGUGUCUCGUCAUCAGGAGCAAGCGUGCGACAUUUGGAAACUCCGGCACAUCAGAAAGUGGGUGAAAAGUCGGUUGCAAAAUUCCAUCUUAACUAACAAGCAAAGCCGGCCUUCUCUA